GAUGAACGCUGGCGGCGUGCCUAAUACAUGCAAGUCGAGCGAACGGACGAGAAGCUUGCUUUUCUGAUGUUAGCGGCGGACGGGUGAGUAACACGUGGAUAACCUACCUAUAAGACUGGGAUAACUUCGGGAAACCGGAGCUAAUACCGGAUAAUAUUUUGAACCGCAUGGUUCAAAAGUGAAAGACGGUCUUGCUGUCACUUAUAGAUGGAUCCGCGCUGCAUUAGCUAGUUGGUAAGGUAACGGCUUACCAAGGCAACGAUGCAUAGCCGACCUGAGAGGGUGAUCGGCAACACUGGAACUGAGACACGGUCCAGACUCCUACGGGAGGAAGCAGUAGGGAAUCUUCCGCAAUGGGCGAAAGCCUGACGGAGCAACGCCGCGUGAGUGAUGAAGGUCUUCGGAUCGUAAAACUCUGUUAUUAGGGAAGAACAUAUGUGUAAGUAACUGUGCACAUCUUGACGGUACCUAAUCAGAAAGCCACGGCUAACUACGUG
rnacentral:rRNA from 1 species